rnacentral:rRNA from 1 species
CCUACGGGUGGCAGCAGUGGGGAAUAUUGGGCAAUGGGCGCAAGCCUGACCCAGCGACGCCGCGUGAAGGAAGAAGGCCCUCGGGUUGUAAACCUCUUUUGUCAGGGACGAAGCAAGUGACGGUACCUGACGAAUAAGCAACGGCUAACUACGUGCCAGCAGCCGCGGUAAUACGUAGGUGGCAAGCGUUAUCCGGAUUUACUGGGUGUAACGGGCGUGUAGGCGGGGAAGCAAGUCAGAUGUGAAAUUCCAGGGCUCAACCCUGGAACUGCAUUUGAAACGGUGUUUCUUGAGUGAUGGAGAGGCAGGCGGAAUUCCGGGUGUAGCGGUGAAAUGUGUAGAUAUACGGAGGAACACCAGUGGCGAAGGCGGCCUGCUGGACAUUAACUGACGCUGAGGCGCGAAAGCGUGGGGAGCAAACAGGAUUAGAUACCCUUGUAGUC